GACGAACGCUGGCGGCGUGCCUAAUACAUGCAAGUUGAGCGAUGAAGAUUGGUGCUUGCACCAAUUUGAAGAGCAGCGAACGGGUGAGUAACGCGUGGGGAAUCUGCCUUUGAGCGGGGGACAACAUUUGGAAACGAAUGCUAAUACCGCAUAACAACUUUAAACAUAAGUUUUAAGUUUGAAAGAUGCAAUUGCAUCACUCAAAGAUGAUCCCGCGUUGUAUUAGCUAGUUGGUGAGGUAAAGGCUCACCAAGGCGAUGAUACAUAGCCGACCUGAGAGGAUGAUCAGCCACAUUGGGACUGAGACACGGCCCAAACUCCUACGGGAGGCAGCAGUAGGGAAUCUUCGGCAAUGGACGAAAGGCUGAACGAGCAACGCCGCGUGAGUGAAGAAGGUUUUCGGAUCGUAAAACUCGGUUGGUAGAGAAGAACGUUGGUGAGAGUGGAAAGCUCAUCAAGUGACGGUAACUACCCAGAAAGGGACGGCUAACUACGUG
rnacentral:rRNA from 1 species